rnacentral:tRNA from 1 species
AUUAAUUUGGCAGAAUAAAUGCAUAUCAUUUAGAAUGAUAAUAUACUUUUAGUAAUUAAUA